rnacentral:tRNA from 1 species
GGCCGGAUGGUUUAGUGGUAUAAUUCUCGCUUAGGGUGCGAGAGGUCCCGGUUCGGCCC